AGUGAACGCUGGCGGUAGGCCUAACACAUGCAAGUCGAACGGCAGCACAGUAAUAGCUUGCUCUUACGGGUGGCGAGUGGCGGACGGGUGAGGAAUACAGCGGAAUCUACUUUUUCGUGGUGGAGAACGGAGGGAAACUUACGCUAAUACCGCAUACGACCUACGGGUGAAAGCAGGGGAUCUUCGGACCUUGAGCGAUUGAAUUAGCCGAUGUCGGAUUAGCUAGUUGGCGGGGUAAAGGCCUACCAAGGCGACGAUCCGUAGCUGGUCUGAGAGGAUGAUCAGCCACACUGGAACUGAGACACGGUCCAGACUCCUACGGGAGGCAGCAGUGGGGAAUAUUGGACAAUGGGCGCAAGCCUGAUCCAGCCAUACCGCGUGGGUGAAGAAGGCCUUCGGGUUGUAAAGCCCUUUUGUUGGGAAAGAAAAGCAGCAGGUUAAUACCCCGCUGUUCUGACGGUACCAAAAGAAUAAGCACCGGCUAACUUCGUG
rnacentral:rRNA from 1 species